rnacentral:rRNA from 1 species
GAAACUAACAAGGAUUCCCCUAGUAACGGCGAGUGAAGAGGGAAGAGCCCAAGAUUGAAAGCUGGCGCCUUCGGCGUCCGCAUUGUAAUCUCAAGAAGUGUUUUCCGCUUCGGACCAUGCCUAAGUCCCUUGGAAAAGGGCAUCAUAGAGGGUGAUAAUCCCGUACAUGGCAUGGAGCGCCCGAAGCUUUGUGAUACGCUUUCUAAGAGUCGAGUUGUUUGGGAAUGCAGCUCAAAAUGGGUGGUAAAUGCCAUCUAAGGCUAAAUAUUGGGGAGAGACCGAUAGCGAACAAGUACAGUGAUGGAAAGAUGAAAAGAACUUUGAAAAGAGAGUUAAACAGUACGUGAAAUUGCCAAAAGGGAAGGGUAGGAGGUCAGAGAUGCGUUCUAGGAUUCAGCCUUGCUUUUGCAUGGUGUUUUUUCUAGUUUGCAGGCCAACGUCGGUUUUGGGCACUGGAGAAGGGUGGAAGGAAUGUGGCACCUCUCGGGGUGUGUUAUAGCCUUCUACUGGAUACAGCGACCGAGACCGAGGACAGCAGCGUACUCGCAAGAGCGGGCCUUCGGGC